rnacentral:lncRNA from 1 species
GAGAGACAGGCUUGUAGAAAAGUACUGAGUAUGUUAACAGUGUCAAGUAGAGAACAGAGAACCCUUCCCCCUAAAUUUCCUGACUGCAUAGGUGUCGGAGUUCCCUGAAGUUCUACUGAAGUCAGUAAAGCAAAGCUCAUCCUACUCCACAUUAAGAAGGGAACUAGGUAGAGGUUGUCUCAACAGGUUGUCUCAACAGCUCACAGGGCCUGUUUGUGAACAUUGUAUGCAGUCUCUUAACUACUUCGGAGACAGAGCUUACCCAGAGUGGGUUCAUCAUGCUGGGAGGAUAACAUUUUGUGUAUUUCCUUCAGAGCUACACUAUGUGCUUUUUGGCUUUCAGAUUGUGAAUGAAACUCUCUGCUUUGGAUCAUCUGAUGUUUUACCUCCAUUACAGGCAAGUGCAGUGCAGAACUACUGCUCCUUCUUUGUUGUUUCACCUUUGAAAUAAAACUUACAGCAAGUCUGCAAAUAUAUUGUCUCUCUGUGCCUGAUAAAUCAGGUACUGCUCCAAGGAGAGGAAUUGCUGAUAUGCUACAAUUGGGAAAAUGGGAUCUAGAAGGUAAAUUUCCAAAGGUAAGCUAAUUCUUAGGAGCACUACCUUUAGCACACGAUUUAAGUUAUCCAAGGCAGUGUCAAUCUUAUGACAGCACAUUCAGAUACAAAUUUUCCUGGAAAACCUUUUCCACCAUGCACUUAGAUUCAUCAACCCAACUCUUCAAGCCACUAGAACUUAAGAAGUCUGAUUUUCUUAUACAUUCAAUUAUACAUUCUAAAAUGCAAUGGUAUGUGAGGUUAUUUUGUUUCUCUACCUAAACUUUCCACAUUUCAGAUAAAAUCAAGUAUAAU